rnacentral:rRNA from 1 species
AGAGUUUGAUCCUGGCUCAGAUUGAACGCUGGUGGCAUGCUUAACACAUGCAAGUCGAACGGUAACAGGUCUUCGGAUGCUGACGAGUGGCGGACGGGUGAGUAACGCGUAGGAAUCUGCCCAUCUGUGGGGGAUACCAGUUGGAAACGACUGUUAAUACCGCAUAAUAUCUGCGGAUUAAAGGUGGCCUUUGCGCUGCCGCAGAUGGAUGAGCCUGCGUUGGAUUAGCUAGUUGGUGGGGUAAGGGCCUACCAAGGCUACGAUCCAUAGCUGAUUUGAGAGGAUGAUCAGCCACAUUGGGACUGAGACACGGCCCAAACUCCUACGGGAGGCAGCAGUGGGGAAUAUUGGACAAUGGGGGAAACCCUGAUCCAGCAAUGCCAUGUGUGUGAAGAAGGCUCUAGGGUUGUAAAGCACUUUAGUUGGGGAGGAAAGCCUGUGAGUUAAUAGCUUGCAGGAAGGACGUUGCCCAAAGAAUAAGGACCGGCUAACUCCGUGCCAGCAGCCGCGGUAAUACGGGGGGUCCGAGCGUUAAUCGGAAUUACUGGGCGUAAAGGGUCUGUAGGUGGUUUGUUAAGUCAGAUGUGAAAGCCCAGGGCUCAACCUUGGAACUGCAUUUGAUACUGACAAACUAGAGUAUGGUAGAGGAAUAGGGAACUUCUGGUGUAGCGGUGAAAUGCGUAGAGAUCAGAAGGAACACCAAUGGCGAAGGCAACAUUCUGGACCAAUACUGACACUGAGGGACGAAAGCGUGGGGAUCAAACAGGAUUAGAUACCCUGGUAGUCCACGCUGUAAACGAUGAGUACUAGCUGUUGGAUUCGGUGUAAAGGAUCUAGUGGCGCAGCUAACGCGUUAAGUACUCCGCCUGGGGACUACGGCCGCAAGGCUAAAACUCAAAGGAAUUGACGGGGACCCGCACAAGCGGUGGAGCAUGUGGUUUUAAUUCGAUGCAACGCGAAGAACCUUACCUGGUCUUGACAUCCUGCGAACUUUCUAGAGAUAGAUUGGUGCCUUCGGGAACGCAGUGACAGGUGCUGCACGGCUGUCGUCAGCUCGUGUUGUGAAAUGUUGGGUUAAGUCCCGCAACGAGCGCAACCCCUAUUGAUAGUUACCAUCAUUAAGUUGGGUACUCUAUUGAGACUGCCGCUGACAAGGCGGAGGAAGGUGGGGACGACGUCAAGUCAUCAUGGCCCUUACGACCAGGGCUACACACGUGCUACAAUGGGUAUUACAGAGGGCUGCGAAGGUGCGAGCUGGAGCGAAACUCAGAAAGGUACUCUUAGUCCGGAUUGCAGUCUGCAACUCGACUGCAUGAAGUCGGAAUCGCUAGUAAUCGCAGGUCAGAAUACUGCGGUGAAUACGUUCCCGGGUCUUGUACACACCGCCCGUCACACCAUGGGAGUGGGUUGCUCCAGAAGUAGAUAGCUUAACGAAUGGGCGUUUACCACGGAGUGAUUCAUAACUGGGGUGAAGUCGUAACAAGGUAGCCGUAGGGGAACCUGCGGCUGGAUCACCU